rnacentral:rRNA from 1 species
AUGUGGUUUAAUUCGAUGCAACGCGAAGAACCUUACCCGGGUUUGACAUGUACCUGACAAGCCCUAAGAGAUAGGGUCUUCUCUUCGGAGCGGGUACACAGGUGCUGCAUGGCUGUCGUCAGCUCGUGUCGUGAGAUGUUGGGUUCAAGUCCCGCAACGAGCGCAACCCCUAUCCUUUAGUUGCCAGCACGUUAUGGUGGGAACUCUAGGGAGACUGCCUGUGUUAAGCAGGAGGAAGGUGGGGAUGACGUCAAGUCCUCAUGGCCCUUACGUCCGGGGCUGCACACGUGCUACAAUGGCCGGUACAAAGGGCAGCGAUACCGCGAGGUGGAGCAAAUCCCAAAAAGCCGGCCCCAGUUCGGAUUGGAGUCUGCAACUCGACUCCAUGAAGUCGGAAUCGCUAGUAAUCGUAGAUCAGCAUGCUACGGUGAAUACGUUCCCGGGCCUUGUACACACCGCCCGUCACACCACGAAAGUCUGCUGUACCAGAAGUCGUUGAGCUAACCCGCAAGGGAGGCAGGCGCCUAAGGUAUGGCCGGUAAUUGGGGUGAAGUCGUAACAAGGUAGCC